GACGAACGCUGGCGGCGUGCUUAACACAUGCAAGUCGUACGGUAAGGCCCUUUCGGGGGUACACGAGUGGCGAACGGGUGAGUAACACGUGAGUAACCUGCCCACAACUUUGGGAUAACGCUAGGAAACUGGUGCUAAUACUGGAUAUGUGCUCCUGCUGCAUGGUGGGGGUUGGAAAGCUCCGGCGGUUGUGGAUGGACUCGCGGCCUAUCAGCUUGUUGGUGGGGUAGUGGCCUACCAAGGCGGCGACGGGUAGCCGGCCUGAGAGGGUGACCGGCCACAGUGGGACUGAGAUACGGCCCAGACUCCUACGGGAGGCAGCAGUGGGGAAUAUUGCACAAGGGGCGCAAGCCUGAUGCAGCAACGCCGCGGGCGGGAUGACGGCCUUCGGGUUGUAAACCGCUUUCAGCAGGGACGAAGCUUUUUGUGACGGUACCUGCAGAAGAAGCACCGGCUAACUACGUG
rnacentral:rRNA from 1 species